AUGCCCUGAUAUACUGACCCUGAAUCUUUUGUUUAACUGUAAAUAUCAGUAUCAAAAAAAAAAAAAGUAUAAACUGUGUUAACCCAUUGACUUGUUUUUUAAGAGCCAAAAUGCAAAAAAAAAAGAAAACAGUGGGAGGUAGACAGGCUUUGUUCUUGUCUCUGGGGGACAGGAUGCAGGGGUGGAGGGCAAGGGAGGCAACAGGAUUGGAGUCUGUGUAGUAUUAGUCCACUCGUCCUCUGGAAUAUAAUUCUCUGAUGAUGAUGGUACUUUGGGGCAACACUACAGAAAGUACUUUUACUGUUUUAAAAGGACACAUCCUCUGUCUUCACUGAAAAAAAAAAAACGUUUCUGACUUAAUUUCUGCUGGGUCGAAUUGACAACCUUCAAAACUUGGGUAACUUUGUUUUUUUGUUUUUAUUUCUUUACAAUUUUUCUAAUGUACAUUUAUUUUUGAGAGCAAGAGACAGAGUGCGAACAGGGGAGGGGCAGAGAGAGAGAGAGAGAGACACAGAAUCCAAAGCAGGCUCCAGGCUCCGAGCUGUCAGCACAGAGCCCAGUGUGGGGCUCAGACCUUCAAACCGUGAGAUCAUGACCUGAGCCCAGGUUGGAUGCUUAACCUACUGAGCCACCCAGGCACCCCAAAGCUUGGUUAACUUUGAAUAGACUCACACUUUCUAACAUUCUCAGAGUGUGACUGUGUGUCUGCAUCUACUUCCACAAGAUAAAAUGUAGCCUUUGUAGAUAGAUUAAAUUUAGGAUUUAAUGCAUUCUGAAAAUUCAUUUAAAAGACAAGUAAUUGUAUGGGGUGCCUAGGUGGCUCAGUUGGCAAGGUGUCCGACUUCGGCUCAAGUGACUUUGGCUCAGGUCGUGCUUUCAUGGCUCAUGGGUUCAAGCCCCGUGUCAGGCUGUGUGCUGACAGUUCAGAGCCUGGAGCCUGCUUUAGAUUCUGUGUCUCCCUCUCUCUCUCUGCCCCUACCCCUCUCGCAUGCACGCGUUCUCUCUCUCACUCUCAAAAAUGAAUAAACAUUUUAAAAAAAAAAUUUUUUUAAGGUAAUUGUAAUGUGUUCUUCUCCCUAGCCCUCAUCCCUAAGGUUUUUGUUGGUGGUGCCACUGCUGUUGUUUUUAAUACUUUUUAAUUAAAUCCAGAACUGUUUUGCCAUGAUAAAGGCCUUUUAAUGUCAUGGAAGCCAAAUAGCUCAAAGCCUCUAAACCGCUCCCCUCUCACAAAUAUACUAGAGAACAAAGAGAUCGCCAUUCAGUCUUGCUGUCAUUUGGUGUGAAUCCACGUAGCUGGUUUGCUUUGGCAUUCAGAACCCCAUACGCAGGAACACAGACGCUGCCCGCUGCCCACUGCCCACUCAUUAUGCAGAGUACACAUUGCAGGAAUUGGGGCAUCAAAAAUUGGAGGACCAGCACCAGUAUGUUAAACCCCAAUAAAACUUGCAGUGUUUAAAUUUAAAGCAUAAGAAAUAAGAAUUAAACAUGAACUUUCUGGCUUAUAGGGGAAAGAAAUUGGCCUUACAACUAUUGAUGAUAAUUUAGAUUGCUUAGGAAAAUUGUUUUUGUCCAGUGAUGUUAAAGGUGCUGAGGAUUCUGCCAGGAACCAAUAAAGACUAAACUAUCAGCUUGUGGAUGCUAAAAAAUUCUGGGAUGUUGUGGGGUUCUUUCCUGUUUAUUUUGCGUAAUAAUUAGAUUUUCAUAAUACAAAAAAAACUUUUUAACCUCUAAUAUCACUUAGUGAAGAGCAUCAAUUCAUAAAUGCCCCAUGAUGACUCCACCCAACAAACUCCUGUUAAAAUACAUGUAUGUCUUUCAAAUAUUCAUAUAGUGGUAACAGUUGUAAAAUGACAAGUAAAACAGCUCUACCCCCAGUUCUUCCCCAGGAAAUAACCGUCAACAACUUUAAAUCCAAAGCCAUUAUCUAAAACUGACCUAGCUAUUCUGAGGAACCAGUGUUUUUUCCCCUUUGCAGAAAUUGAUACAGAUUGCAGUACUCACUAUCAAGACUGAAGCAUCAAUGUAGGAAAUACUACUGAUAAAGGCAGGAAAGGUUUUGCAAAGGGCAAAAAGACAGCCUGGAAAAGGGCUGCUUCGAGACCUUCUAAGCUUCCUUUCACAAGGUAACAACACUUGGGAGAUCCUGCCUCCACAAAGGUCAACUGGAAAGCAAGGGAUAACCUAACAUCUAACAUUUAUUGCGUUCUCCAUGUAUACCAGGCAUUUUGCUAAGAGCUUUUCAUGCAUCAUCGCUUUUAUCCCUCAUAACAACCUCAUGAGAUACACUGUUGGCCCUGAUUUUCAAAUGCAAAUACCAGGGGCGCCUGGUGGAGGACUCCUGGUAAGGUUACACACCUAGUUACCUAGUGGAGUUGGGCCCUGUUAAGAGUCCCGUCCUCUGACUCCAGCACCCACUUUCUUAAUAAUUAUUUUCUGGGGGCUUUCACGUAAAAAAUUAUACAUUGUAUCAUAAGCAGUGAUUGAGAACUAUGCCAUGUCAUCCACACAAUAAUUCCCAACACUGGGGCCCAUUCGAAAUGUGUUAAAGGUUAUUAGAAGGCCUGCCUUCUUCCUAGAAAAAACAAGUAUAUGCCAACAAGUGUGCAUGUAGAACUCACUCAUAUAUGAUAUCUUUAUGGGCCCACUUAUUCCAGUUACUUAGGCAAUGGAAGAACAUUUUAGAGUUUUCCACUGAAAGAGGUUUGAAGAGCUCUGGUGUUGAACAGUGGCUCAUUUCUCUGCCAAAGUGUAUGACAUGUAUCUUUAAGGGUUUUCAGUGGACUCAUUUUAACAUGGCUUGCUUCUGGGUGUCUCUUCCUUAAAAACGAAGAAGUUAUAGUUUGUAAUGAAUUGCUAUUUCUCCUGGUUAUUUAUUCUUGGAGAAAGUCUGUCAGACCUUUUAACUUUUCUGAAUUGCUUCUUGGCUAGAGGAAAAUGUGAAAGAUGACACAAAUGGAAAUUAUAAAGGUUGUCAGUAAUAUGACUCCUUUUGCCCACGUAUCAUUAUCGUAAAUAUGUGAACACAGGCCUUCAAAACAUUUUGUACAUUUGAGCCUUAGUAGGAUUUAGGACUCUUUUUUUUUUUUUUUUUUUUUUUUUUUAAUCCCUUUUAGCAAGAGAGAAAUAGCAAGGGAAUAGUCAAGGGUGAUAGUACCCCCAUUGGAGGUUUACUGAAUAAGCUAUAUGAGCUAUAGACUAUAUUCCAAAUAAAUCAGUUUUUCCAUUAUGUGUUCAUUUUCUCUGCAGGCAAGAGCUUUAAACUUUAUGCUUGAUUAAGGAACAUUCCUUAGCUCAUGGGGAUUUCUGAUAGUUAACCUGUUCAUUACAGGUCUUUUAAUUGCCUACUCUGUAUCAGGUACCCUGCUCUUUGCUAAGGGAACUAUUCACAAGAAAGCUUUAAAAAAGAAGAAGAAAACAAAGCUGAUUUUUUUUUCUUAAAAUGUUUCUAAUUGAUUUCCUCAAAAUAGAGCAGAAUCCCAAAUCCCUGCUGGUAUCUAUAUCAUUCUUCUUUUGCUUUUAGUUCAGUAUUCUAUUUCUACAUUUUCCUUUCCCAGGAACAGUCAAUAAAUGACACAGUUGAAAACACUAAACAAUGCAUGGCUACAAUAGGAGUUCAAAGGAGAUACCAGGGAGAGACAGUCUUGAUCUGCAGGUAGGGAAGGCUGGAUAGGAGUUGGAUGGGGGAAAAGGUCAUUUAA